CAUGGCUUUGCUGGCUGGCUUCUCGCAUGUCCAGGCCUCGCUGGGCUCCAGGCAGCAGAGAUGCUCUGCUAAUCUGACCGAGAAGGUGGGGAGAGCACAGGAGCUGUGGGCAUGUCACGUCAGCUCUGCUCACAGAGAGCUCGAGAGCCAGCACUGAAAGGGAGUGGGAAAUGCAUGUUCACUGCUUCUCCAGAAUGGCAGCAGUCUAACUCCUAAAUGCUGCUGGCAAACACAGUGGAGGAAGAUCUUCCCAUCUCCUGCAUCCUGGAUGCUGGCUGAACAGACAUGCUGCAUAUUAACAUCACCACUGCAUUUGAUUGAUACCUACAGGGUCUGCAGCAUUUCCACAUACGGGCCACCGGGAUGAUAAUCGAGCACCAACAGUCCUGACCAUCCUGAUGGGCUCUUGGCUUCCAGAGUGACUUGCCAGCCUCACCGGCAUCGGAUCCAGUGCCAGGGCCCAGAUGGAGUGUGACUGGUGUCAUAGCACAUGGGCCUUGGGCAGCAACUAACUGCUCCACCGAGGACCCGACUCAGCUCCAUUGAGAUCUCCACCCUGGAGACGUCCCCUCCUCUGCCACACACUUCACCCUAACGGGAACACAAGGCGUCACAACGCACCUCCUGACAGGCGGUCUGUUCCUGGUGACUUUGAGGGACCACUUUGUCCUCCUUGACUUGCAGACGCUGCAGUUCAGGUAAGGCAGGCCGCCGAAUGAGGGGAGGCCUAAGCUGAUCAAUGACACCGGUAGCAGACAUGGUACAUUUUCUCCAGCAAGCCAGAGCAAAACAUUACUUUGAUCAAACUCUGUGUGCCCACACAUGUCCUGGCAUACUAGGCCUGGGUUUUCAUCUUCGCUGGCAUUUUUCUUUAUGUUUGUGGUGGGGGAUGAGAUCCUGUUUACAUGACUUCUCUUUCAUAAGGUUAAUAUUCCCAGAUAUGUAAGUCUGAUGAUUUAGAAGGCUGAUUUUCAUCUACAUUAAGUACAGUAUUGAAUGCUUCCUGUACUGACAGCCACUGGGCCUCAUCCUACUCUGGCUACAUCCACUAGACAUCCACUGGGUUGAGUUUGGUCUAUCGCGGUGCUGCUCUCAAUGGGGAGAGCCUCAGCCCCCCAGAGACAACUAUCACCUACCACUCCCAGCAGAGGCCUAACUGAGACACAGGCAGUAAAGGACCGUACAGGCAGACUGGCUCGGCUACACAGCGCAGCGUGCCCGUGACUCCAGCCAUACAAGCAUAUGUAGGCACCUGGCAUGGCAGGGAGGCCCACAGGCUGUGUGCGUGCAGGGGAUACAAUGGUGGCGGGUCUCCAUGUGGGAACAGCUGCAAGGCUGCUGCGUCCUGCUGUAUUCAUCAAUGACCUCUACUCCUGGAGCAUGGGAGCAGCUCACGCAGGUGGAGGUAGGUGAGUAUUGUUGCUGUGGUACAAUCGUGGAGCAGAGGCACAGUGAACUUAUGCCGCUAGUACAAGGAUACUAAGGAAAUCCAUGGAAGACCCACAAAUUAACUCGGGUCUCAAUCCAGUGCCCCAUAUGCGAGGCCAGCAUCUUCUCUCUUACACUGGAUGUGUGCUAAGGCCACCAGCAAGCCCUGGAUGUCUUCUCCCAAGGAACGAUCCCUUGUUUCACUCCCAAGUGGAUCAUUAGUCCGCCUCUUCUCCUGUGAGCUUCUCCACAAGGAUCGGCAGAUGACACCCUGGCGGAAGACACUAGAAACUACCCUGAUCCAGGUUUCAACACAUGCAUGCUGUGGCAGUGGCCACUGCAGUGCCCCCUUGCUGCUAUCCAGCCAGGACUGGUUUUUGUACAGCCACUUGUCACUGUGGGGUGUCUUCGGAGGAGGAACCCAGCUGACCGUCCUCGGACAGCCAAAGGCCUCUCCUACAGUGCACCUCUUCCCUCCAUCCUCGGAAGAGAUCAGCAGCAAGAGCAAGGCCACGCUGGUGUGUCUGAUGGACAGCUUUUACCCCGGCUCGGUCCAGGUCACCUGGAAAGCUGAUGGCACCACCAUGUCCAGUGGAGUGGAGACCACCAAGCCGUCCAAACAGAGCGACAACAAGUACAUGGCCGGCAGCUACCUGGCGCUGAGCGCCUCCGACUGGAAGAGCCACGAGACCUACACCUGUCAGGUGACGCACGACGGGAAGAGCAUCGAGAAGACCCUGAAGAGAUCGGAGUGCUCUUAGCCCGCAGCCCCGGAGGGCGCGGCUGGUUCUCGUCUCAGUCAGUAGAGAGCUGGGAUCCCCAAGGAGCCGGGAUCCUUCUGUAGUGUCCAAUUUCUCCUGAAAUCCUUCCUCUCCGGGGGUCCCUAUGGAUGCCUUUAUAAACCUCUCUUUUUCCUGUGUCUCCAUCCCAUGCCCUUAUCUCGCUGCGUUUCCUGCACAUGUCGGUCCUGCUUUACUCACUGAUGCUGCCUUGGCACGAUAUGAAUAAAACCAGAAACAUUCAA